rnacentral:rRNA from 1 species
GAUGAACGCUGGCGUCGUGCUUAACACAUGCAAGUCGAACGGAAAGGCUCCUGCUUGCAGGGGUACUCGAGUGGCGAACGGGUGGGUAACACGUGGGUGAUCUGCCCUGCACUUCGGGAUAAGCCUGGGAAACUGGGUCUAAUACCGGAUAGGACGAUGGUUUGGAUGCCAUUGUGGAAAGUUUUUCGGUGUGGGAUGAGCUCGCGGCCUAUCAGCUUGUUGGUGGGGUAAUGGCCUACCAAGGCGUCGACGGGUAGCCGGCCUGAGAGGGUGUACGGCCACAUUGGGACUGAGAUACGGCCCAGACUCCUACGGGAGGCAGCAGUGGGGAAUAUUGCACAAUGGGCGCAAGCCUGAUGCAGCGACGCCGCGUGGGGGAUGACGGCCUUCGGGUUGUAAACUCCUUUCGCUAGGGACGAAGCGCAAGUGACGGUACCUGGAGAAGAAGCACCGGCUAACUACGUG